rnacentral:misc_RNA from 1 species
UUUCCGUAGGUGAACCUGCGGAAGGAUCAUUAUUGAAUGAACUUGGUGUGGUUGUUGCUGGCCCUCUCGGGGGCAUGUGCACACCCACCAUCCUCAUCUCUCCACCUGUGCACUUCUUGUAGACCUGGAUACACUUUCCGAGGCAACUCGGUCUGGAGGAAUGCUGUGCAAGCUUUCUUUGUAUUUCCUGGCCUACGUUUUUCAUAUACCCCAUAGCAUGUAACAGAAUGUAUCAUUGGGCCUUUGUGCCUAUAAACCUUAUACAACUUUCAGCAACGGAUCUCUUGGCUCUC